rnacentral:rRNA from 1 species
AACGAACGCUGGCGGCGUGCAUAAGACAUGCAAGUCGAACGGAAUAUCAUGAGUAGUAAUACGAGUGGUGUUUAGUGGCGAACGGGUGCGUAACACGUGGAUAGAUUCCGGAAAGCGGGGGAUAGCCCAGGGAAACUUGGAUUAAUACCGCAUGUGGUCGAGAGACUAAAGACGGGGAUCGAAAGACCUGUCACUUUCCGAUUGGUCCGCGGGCUAUCAGCUAGUUGGCCGGGUAAAAGCCCACCAAGGCGACGACGGGGAGCUGGUCUUAGAGGACGAGCAGCCACACUGGAACUGAGACACGGUACAGACACAUACGGGUGGCAGCAGUCGAGAAUCUUUCACAAUGGGGGCAACCCUGAUGGAGCGACGCCGCGUGGAGGAUAAGGUCUUCGGAUUGUAAACUCCUGUCAUGCGUGAACAAGGCUACUUGGUUAAUACCUGGGUAGAUUGAUGGUAGCGCAAGAGGAAGAGACGGCUAACUCUGUGCCAGCAGCCGCGGUAACAC